rnacentral:rRNA from 1 species
GCGGAGGAGCAUGUGGUUUAAUUCGAUGAUACGCGAGGAACCUUACCUGGGCUCGAACGUAAGAUGACUGUAGGUGAAAGCUUACAUCUCUUCGGAGCAUUUUACGAGGUGCUGCAUGGUUGUCGUCAGCUCGUGCCGUGAGGUGUCGGGUUAAGUCCCAUAACGAGCGCAACCCCUACCUUAGUUGCCAUCAGGUUAAGCUGGGGACUCUAAAGGAACUGCCUACGCAAGUAGUGAGGAAGCGGGGAUGACGUCAAAUCAGCACGGCCCUUACGUCCAGGGCUACACACGUGCUACAAUGGCCGAUACAGAGGGCAGCUACCUGGUGACAGGAUGCAAAUCUCCAAAGUCGGUCUCAGUUCGGAUCGGAGUCUGCAACCCGACUCCGUGAAGUUGGAUUCGCUAGUAAUCGCGCAUCAGCCAUGGCGCGGUGAAUACGUUCCCGGGCCUU